UAGGGAUUAGCUAUGUGAGUCUCUCUAGUGCAUUUAUUCAAACUUUUUACACUGCAAAUUCAUCUGAGCAGGGAUUGUCUUCUUUCUGUGUUUACACAGUAUCUACCUCAACUGUGGCUGUUGAGAGCUAUCAUCAUGAGGUGCCAUCAUGCUGUACUGACAAAAUCCACUUCAUCUAUCAAAGAGCUCCAAAGGAAGGAGGAAAAAUGGAGUGAUGCCAGCUGCACAACUGGUACAACAGCCACUUCCCAAGCACCAGGGAGAAUUCCUGUUUUGUUUUGUUUUUUAUGAAAAGGACUAGAAGAAAGAUGGUUAGGAGGGGCCCUACACCAUGCUUCCCUCUAAAAUACCUGUGGAACACAGAUGAAUAUCGCUUGUAUUCCUGUAUUGUAAACUGCUUCCAUAUGGAUUAAAAGGAGGAGUUUGCUAAUAUAAUAAACUACUUGAAAGCACUAAGAAAUCA